UCGGAAGCUAUGCAGGAUUGGGUCUGGUUAGUACGUGGAUGGGAGACCGCCUGGGAAUACCAGGUGCUGUAAGCUU
rnacentral:rRNA from 1 species